AUUGAACGCUGGCGGCAGGCUUAACACAUGCAAGUCGAACGAGUGGCGGACGGGUGAGUAAUGCUUGGGAAUCUAGCUUAUGGAGGGGGAUAACUACGGGAACCUGUAGCUAAUACCGCAUACCCUAGGAUGAGCCCAAGUGGGAUUAGGUAGUUGGUGAGGUAAAGGCUCACCAAGACUACGCACUCUAGCUGGUCUGAGAGGAUGACCAGCAAUCCAGGGACUGAGACACUGCCCAGACGCCUACGGUAGGCAGCAGUGGGGAAUAUUGCGCAAUGGUGGCAACCUGGCGCAGACAUGCCGCGUGAAUGAAGAAGGCCUUCGGGUUGUAAAGUUCUUUCGGUAGCGAGGCGUUAACUACAGAAGAAGCACCGGCUAACUCCGUGCCAGCAGCCGCGGUAAUAC
rnacentral:rRNA from 1 species